AUUGAACGCUGGCGGCGUGCCUAACACAUGCAAGUCGAGCGGUAACAGGUGUAGCAAUACAUGCUGACGAGCGGCGAACGGGUGAGUAAUGCUUCGGAAUCUACCCAAUGGUGGGGAAUAACCAGCCGAAAGGUUGGCUAAUACCGCAUACGUCCCACGGGAGAAAGCAGGGGAUCGCAAGACCUUGCGCCAAUGGAUGAGCCGAAGUCGGAUUAGCUAGUUGGAGGGUAACGGCCUACCAAGGCGACGAUCCGUAGCUGGUCUGAGAGGACGACCAGCCACACUGGGACUGAGACACGGCCCAGACUCCUACGGGAGGCAGCAGUGGGGAAUAUUGGACAAUGGGGGAAACCCUGAUCCAGCGACGCCGCGUGUGUGAAGAAGGCCUGCGGGGUUGUAAAGCACUUUUUAGUGGGGAUGAAAUGUUCAGGGUUAACACCUCUGGAUUUUGACCUAACCCGCAG
rnacentral:rRNA from 1 species